CUGGAGUCUACCUUAAUAAUCCAUUCCACGAAGCGUACCCGACAAAAGUAAAUCACAGAGUCGUAUGGACGAUGAAACUACAACAAACACAACAGCUACUAAAAACAAAG